UACGUAGGGUGCGAGCGUUAAUCGGAAUUACUGGGCGUAAAGCGUGCGCAGGCGGUUCGUUGUGUCGGCGGUGAAAGCCCCGGGCUUAACCUGGGAAUGGCCGUCGAAACUGGCGAACUGGAGUGUGGCAGAGGGGGGUAGAAUUCCACGUGUAGCAGUGAAAUGCGUAGAGAUGUGGAGGAACACCGAUGGCGAAGGCAGCCCCCUGGGUCAAGAUUGACGCUCAUGCACGAAAGCGUGGGGAGCAAACAGG
rnacentral:rRNA from 1 species